rnacentral:rRNA from 1 species
GUAAGCUACUAAGAGCGAAUGGUGGAUGCCUUGACUGGUAAAGGCGAUGAAGGACGUACUAGACUGCGAUAAGCUACGGGGAGCUGUCAAGAAGCUUUGAUCCGUAGAUUUCCGAAUGGGGCAACCCAAUGUAUAGAGAUAUACAUUACCUAUAUAGGAGCGAACGAGGGGAAUUGAAACAUCUUAGUACCCUCAGGAAAAGAAAUCAAUAGAGAUUGCGUCAGUAGCGGCGAGCGAAAGCGUAAGAGGGCAAACCCAGUGCUUGCACUGGGGGUUGUAGGACUGCAAUGUGCAAGAGGUGAGUUUAGCAGAACAUUCUGGAAAGUAUAGCCAUAGAGGGUGAUAGUCCCGUAUGCGAAAAACAAACCUUAGCUAGCAGUAUCCUGAGUAGGGCGGGACACGAGAAAUCCUGUCUGAAGCUGGGUCGACCACGAUCCAACCCUAAAUACUAAUACCAGAUCGAUAGUGCACAAGUACCGUGAGGGAAAGGUGAAAAGAACUGAGGUGAUCAGAGUGAAAUAGAACCUGAAACCAUUUGCUUACAAUCAUUCAGAGCACUAUGUAGCAAUACAGUGUGAUGGACUGCCUUUUGCAUAAUGAGCCUGCGAGUUGUGGUGUCUGGCAAGGUUAAGCAAACGCGAAGCCGUAGCGAAAGCGAGUCUGAAUAGGGCGCUUAGUCAGAUGCUGCAGACCCGAAACGAAGUGAUCUAUCCAUGAGCAAGUUGAAGCUAGUGUAAGAACUAGUGGAGGACUGAACCCAUAGGCGUUGAAAAGCCCCGGGAUGACUUGUGGAUAGGGGUGAAAGGCCAAUCAAACUUCGUGAUAGCUGGUUCUCUCCGAAAUAUAUUUAGGUAUAGCGUUGUGUCGUAAUAUAAGGGGGUAGAGCACUGAAUGGGCUAGGGCAUACACCAAUGUACCAAACCCUAUCAAACUCCGAAUACCUUAUAUGUAAUCACAGCAGUCAGGCGGCGAGUGAUAAAAUCCGUCGUCAAGAGGGAAACAACCCAGACUACCAGCUAAGGUCCCUAAAUCUUACUUAAGUGGAAAACGAUGUGAAGUUACUUAAACAACCAGGAGGUUGGCUUAGAAGCAGCCAUCCUUUAAAGAAAGCGUAAUAGCUCACUGGUCUAGUGAUUUUGCGCGGAAAAUAUAACGGGGCUAAAGUAAGUACCGAAGCUGUAGACUUGAUUUUAUCAAGUGGUAGGAGAGCGUUCUAUUUGCGCCGAAGGUAUACCGGUAAGGAGUGCUGGAGCGAAUAGAAGUGAGCAUGCAGGCAUGAGUAGCGAUAAUUAAUGUGAGAAUCAUUAACGCCGUAAACCCAAGGUUUCCUACGCGAUGCUCGUCAUCGUAGGGUUAGUCGGGUCCUAAGUCGAGUCCGAAAGGGGUAGACGAUGGCAAAUUGGUUAAUAUUCCAAUACCAACAUUAGUGUGCGAUGGAAGGACGCUUAGGGCUAAGGGGGCUAGCGGAUGGAAGUGCUAGUCUAAGGUCGUAGGAGGUUAUACAGGCAAAUCCGUAUAACAUACUCCGAGAACUGAAAGGCUUUUUGAAGUCUUCGGAUGGAUAGAAGAACCCCUGAUGCCGUCGAGCCAAGAAAAGUUUCUAAGUUUAGCUAAUGUUGCCCGUACCGUAAACCGACACAGGUGGGUGGGAUGAGUAUUCUAAGGCGCGUGGAAGAACUCUCUUUAAGGAACUCUGCAAAAUAGCACCGUAUCUUCGGUAUAAGGUGUGGUUCGCUUCGUAUUAGGAUUUACUCCGAAAGCGAAGAAACUUACAACAAAGAGUCCCUCCCGACUGUUUACCAAAAACACAGCACUCUGCUAACUCGUAAGAGGAUGUAUAGGGUGUGACGCCUGCCCGGUGCUCGAAGGUUAAUUGAUGGGGUUAGCAUUAGCGAAGCUCUUGAUCGAAGCCCGAGUAAACGGCGGCCGUAACUAUAACGGUCCUAAGGUAGCGAAAUUCCUUGUCGGUUAAAUACCGACCUGCAUGAAUGGCGUAACGAGAUGGGAGCUGUCUCAAAGAGGGAUCCAGUGAAAUUGUAGUGGAGGUGAAAAUUCCUCCUACCCGCGGCAAGACGGAGAGACCCCGUGGACCUUUACUACAGCUUGACACUGCUAUUUGGAUAAGAAUGUGCAGGAUAGGUGGGAGGCUUUGAGUAUAUGACGCCAGUUGUAUAUGAGCCAUUGUUGAGAUACCACUCUUUCUUAUUUGGGUAGCUAACCAGCUUGAGUUAUCCUCAAGUGGGACAAUGUCUGGUGGGUAGUUUGACUGGGGCGGUCGCCUCCCAAAUAAUAACGGAGGCUUACAAAGGUUGGCUCAGAACGGUUGGAAAUCGUUCGUAGAGUAUAAAGGUAUAAGCCAGCUUAACUGCAAGACAUACAAGUCAAGCAGAGACGAAAGUCGGUCUUAGUGAUCCGGUGGUUCUGUGUGGAAGGGCCAUCGCUCAAAGGAUAAAAGGUACCCCGGGGAUAACAGGCUGAUCUCCCCCAAGAGCUCACAUCGACGGGGAGGUUUGGCACCUCGAUGUCGGCUCAUCGCAUCCUGGGGCUGGAGCAGGUCCCAAGGGUAUGGCUGUUCGCCAUUUAAAGCGGUACGCGAGCUGGGUUCAGAACGUCGUGAGACAGUUCGGUCCCUAUCUGCCGUGGGCGUAAGAAGAUUGAAGAGAUUUGACCCUAGUACGAGAGGACCGGGUUGAACAAACCACUGGUGUAGCUGUUGUUCUGCCAAGAGCAUCGCAGCGUAGCUAAGUUUGGAAAGGAUAAACGCUGAAAGCAUCUAAGCGUGAAGCCAACUCUAAGAUGAAUCUUCUCUAAGCUCUCUAGAAGACUACUAGUUUGAUAGGCUGGGUGUGUAAUGGAUGAAAGUCCUUUAGCUGACCAGUACUAAUAGAGCGUUUGGCUUAUCUUUA